CCCUUAGAUGUUCUGGGCUGCACGCGCGCUACACUGAUGCGCUCAACAAGUUUAUGACCUUGCCCGGAAGGGUUGGGUAAUCUUCUUAGCACGCAUCGUGAUGGGGAUAGAUUAUUGCAAUUAUUAAUCUUCAACGAGGAAUUCCUAGUAAGCGCGAGUCAUCAGCUCGUGCUGAUUACGUCCCUGCCCUUUGUACACACCGCCCGUCGCUACUACCGAUUGAACGGUUUAGUGAGGGCCUCGGAUUGGUCUCGGCCCGCUCUUUACCGGGCGGCGCCGUUGGUCGAGAAGACGCUCGAACUUGAUCGUUUAGAGGAAGUAAAAGUCGUAACA
rnacentral:rRNA from 1 species